rnacentral:misc_RNA from 1 species
AACGCACAUUGCGCCCUCUGGUAUUCCGGAGGGCAUGCCUGUUCGAGCGUCAUUAUCACCAAUCAAGCCCGGCUUGCUAUUGAGCCAUCCCCGGCCAGUCCAUCUGCCGGGGGCUCGAAAAACAGUGGCGGCGUCUUCGGCCCCGAGUACAACGAGCUUCUCUCUCAAGAGGCACGUAUUCUGGCGGUCGGCGGGCGUCGAUCCAGAACCCUCUGUCUUUCUGACGGUUGACCUCGGAUCAGGUAGGAAUACCCGCUGAACUUAA